UCAUCGGUAGUAUAGUGGUCAGUAUCCCCGCCUGUCACGCGGGAGACCGAGGUUCGAUUCCCCGCAGAGGAG
rnacentral:tRNA from 1 species